GAUGAACGCUGGCGGCGUGCCUAAUACAUGCAAGUCGAGCGAACGGUCGAGAAGCUUGCUUCUCUGAUGUUAGCGGCGGACGGGUGAGUAACACGUGGAUAACCUACCUAUAAGACUGGGAUAACUUCGGGAAACCGGAGCUAAUACCGGAUAAUAUUUUGAACCGCAUGGUUCAAAAGUGAAAGACGGUCCUGCUGUCACUUAUAGAUGGAUCCGCGCUGCAUUAGCUAGUUGGUAAGGUAACGGCUUACCAAGGCAACGAUGCAUAGCCGACCUGAGAGGGUGAUCGGCCACACUGGAACUGAGACACGGUCCAGACUCCUACGGGAGGCAGCAGUAGGGAAUCUUCCGCAAUGGGCGAAAGCCUGACGGAGCAACGCCGCGUGAGUGAUGAAGGUCUUCGGAUCGUAAAACUCUGUUAUUAGGGAAGAACAUAUGUGUAAGUAACUGUGCACAUCUUGACGGUACCUAAUCAGAAAGCCACGGCUAACUACGUG
rnacentral:rRNA from 1 species